UACCAGCACCCCGAGUGGUCGGGACGAUUAUUGGGCCUAAAGCAUCCGUAGCCGGUCAUGCAAGUCCUCCGUUAAAUCCACCUGCUUAACAGAUGGGCUGCGGAGGAUACUACAAGGCUAGGAGGCGGAAGAGGCAAGCGGUACUCAGUGGGUAGGGGUAAAAUCCUCUGAUCCAUUGAAGACCACCAGUGGCGAAGGUGGCUUGCCAAUACGCGCUCGACGGUGAGGGAUGAAAGCUGGGGGAGCAAACCGG
rnacentral:rRNA from 1 species